AUUGAACGCUGGCGGCAUGCUUUACACAUGCAAGUCGAACGGCAGCGCGGGCUUCGGCCUGGCGGCGAGUGGCGAACGGGUGAGUAAUACAUCGGAACGUGCCCAGUAGUGGGGGAUAGCUCGGCGAAAGCCGGAUUAAUACCGCAUACGACCUGAGGGUGAAAGCGGGGGAUCUUCGGACCUCGCGCUAUUGGAGCGGCCGAUGGCAGAUUAGCUUGUUGGUGGGGUAAAGGCCUACCAAGGCGACGAUCUGUAGCUGGUCUGAGAGGACGACCAGCCACACUGGGACUGAGACACGGCCCAGACUCCUACGGGAGGCAGCAGUGGGGAAUUUUGGACAAUGGGCGAAAGCCUGAUCCAGCAAUGCCGCGUGUGUGAUGAAGGCCUUCGGGUUGUAAAGCACUUUUGGCGGGAACGAAAAGGACUGUGCCAAUACCACGGUUCGAUGACGGUACCCGCAGAAUAAGCACCGGCUAACUACGUG
rnacentral:rRNA from 1 species